CGAUGUAAUGCAUUUGUGAAUUUAGCAGUGUAAAAUAAUCCAAAUGUAAUGAUUUUUUUAUAAAAAUUUUUUUACUAUUUAGAGUAAGAUUAGUACCUAUGAUAUUAAAUUCAAGUCUUUUAUUAUCAUUUUUUAUGAGAUUUUUUAUUUUCAGUAGUUUAUUUUUAGAUUACUCAUUUGAUUGCUAAAUGAUGUCGGAAAAUUAUAAAAUUUAGUUUCCAAAUACUCGUUUGUUUGCUCAAUUCUUUCUCUCUCUCUCUCUCUCUUGUGUUUUAUUAGAAACACGCAUAAGCCAUUUUCAAUUAUGGUGAUUCUGAAUCGACGAUCGGCUCCGUUAGACUUGAUCUAGUAUAUUUGAAGUAUCUAAAAAAUAGAUUUUGUAGUAAUUAUAUAUAUAGAGAGAGAGAGAGGGGGGGAGAGAGAAUCCGGCUACUGUACUAUUGCUAGUACCAAACUCUUGAUAUUAUCGAGUUUUCUAUCAUUAGAUCUACCCUUUGAUCAUUUUCAUCGGUUAAAUUAUACUAUACAAUCAACCACCCACUCAACCUAACCGCAUAUCCUUUCAUCCAACAGCCGAAAACUCGAUAGUACCAACCACUUGGUACUAUCGAUAGU
rnacentral:lncRNA from 1 species